CCAAGAAGAUGGAAUGAACAGGCUUUAACUACAGAACAGAACAAUUUCUUCUGUGCAGUGGUAACAGCUAACAGUGGAACUAUACCCAUGGAACACAGUCGUCAAAUUAAGUGCAUGUGCAAUUAAAAUUUUUGUUUUGGGCUGCAAGACGAUUUUUCCCGAAAUGACGAAAAUCGUCAUUUUCGUAUGCUUUAUUUCCCUCCUCAUAGCAUCUUACGACGAUUAUGACCGCCACGUUUUCGCCUCUGCACUCCAGACUUUUUUCUUUCCAGUCAUAUGACCAAAUGAUUGUUACUUUCCGAUUCCACACGUAUUCAUUUGUAUUGUUGUUUCGUGAAUGAAUUUGCUUACGCC